GCCAACCUGAGAAAUAACCGUGGAAACGAUUAACGCAGCAGCAAAGUGACUGAUAGAGUCGUUCAUUAAAAAUAUUGUUAUUUUUUAAGUUGUAAAUUUUUCAGAAUCGGUCACACUGUAAUAUUGUUUAGCGUAACAUGAUUUACUUAAAAUGGCCAACUCAAUGUGUUUGUUAUUUGUGUAAAGUCUCUCAAGAAGUUAUAUCUUUUUUUUGUGUUUAAUUUUAAUUUUAAUGAAAUAAUUAAUUAAUCUAUUUCAUCUUUCUUGUAAUGGUAUUUAUCUUUUAAAAUGUCUCUCUUUAGUAUGCUACCGGCUCCAACACAGCGGUAUGAUGUCAAAAUACCGCCUUAUAGCAACCGUAUGGGAUGGGUUCCACGAAUUAUUGAGUUGUGGUCUUCAUUCACUGGUGUAAUCAUGAGGGGUGGUAUGAGUGUCCAAUAUCCCUAUUGUAAAAAUAAUUAUAUUGUGAAGUUAUAAUAUUUUUUUGCUGGCAAGAAGAAGUGAAAAUUCUUUUUAUAAAUAUUCCCCAUCUUAAGAGAAAAACGUUAUUAUGCCAGUGACUAUGUUUAAAGCAUAUAUUUUAUUUGUAUCUAAUUAAAAAAAAUAUAUAUUAUUUUUUUUU